rnacentral:rRNA from 1 species
GACGAACGCUGGCGGCGUGCCUAAUACAUGCAAGUCGAACGCUUCUUUCCUCCCGAGUGCUUGCACUCAAUUGGAAAGAGGAGUGGCGGACGGGUGAGUAACACGUGGGUAACCUACCCAUCAGAGGGGGAUAACACUUGGAAACAGGUGCUAAUACCGCAUAACAGUUUAUGCCGCAUGGCAUAAGAGUGAAAGGCGCUUUCGGGUGUCGCUGAUGGAUGGACCCGCGGUGCAUUAGCUAGUUGGUGAGGUAACGGCUCACCAAGGCCACGAUGCAUAGCCGACCUGAGAGGGUGAUCGGCCACACUGGGACUGAGACACGGCCCAGACUCCUACGGGAGGCAGCAGUAGGGAAUCUUCGGCAAUGGACGAAAGUCUGACCGAGCAACGCCGCGUGAGUGAAGAAGGUUUUCGGAUCGUAAAACUCUGUUGUUAGAGAAGAACAAGGACGUUAGUAACUGAAUGUCCCCUGACGGUAUCUAACCAGAAAGCCACGGCUAACUACGUG